ensembl:snRNA U2 U2 spliceosomal RNA
ACCACUUUGUGGCCUUUUUUCUGCUAAGAUGAAGUGUAUUACCAGUUUAAUAUCUGAUAGGCUUCCCCUGAUCUUUGCUCCAUAUUACAUGGAUUUUUAGGAAUGGAAAUAGGAGCUAAGUCCUCUGGGUUUGCUUUGCUCAGACAAGACAUCGCCCCAAUACUGCACUGCCUUCGGGAGUGGUGCACUCCUC